rnacentral:rRNA from 1 species
UACGUAGGUGGCAAGCGUUGUUCGGAAUUAUUGGGCGUAAAGGGCGCGUAGGCGGCCUUCUAAGUCAGACGUGAAAUCCCCCGGCUUAACCUGGGAACUGCGUCUGAUACUGGGAGGCUUGAGUAUGGGAGAGGGAUGUAGAAUUCCAGGUGUAGCGGUGAAAUGCGUAGAUAUCUGGAGGAAUACCGGUGGCGAAGGCGGCAUCCUGGACCAUUACUGACGCUGAGGCGCGAAAGCUAGGGGAGCAAACGGG